CCCUUAGAUGUCCGGGGCCGCACGCGCGCUACACUGAAGGAAUCAGCGUGGCUCUGUCCCUGGUCCGAAAGGAUUGGGAAACCCGUUGAAUCUCCUUCGUGAUAGGGAUUGGGGCUUGGAACUGUUCCCCAUGAACGAGGAAUUCCCAGUAAGCGCGAGUCAUAAGCUCGCGUUGAUUACGUCCCUGCCCUUUGUACACACCGCCCGUCGCUCCUACCGAUUGGGUGCUCCGGUGAAUUGUUUGGACUGCUGUCAGUCUUUUCGGCUGUCGGCGAGAAGCUCUGUGAACCUUAGCACCUAGAGGAAGGAGAAGUCGUANCA
rnacentral:rRNA from 1 species